rnacentral:rRNA from 1 species
GACGAACGCUGGCGGCGUGCUUAACACAUGCAAGUCGAACGGAAAGGCCCUGCUUGCAGGGUACUCGAGUGGCGAACGGGUGAGUAACACGUGGGUGAUCUGCCCUGCACUUCGGGAUAAGCCUGGGAAACUGGGUCUAAUACCGGAUAGGAGCCAUUUUUAGUGUGGUGGUUGGAAAGUUUUUUCGGUGUAGGAUGAGCUCGCGGCCUAUCAGCUUGUUGGUGGGGUAAUGGCCUACCAAGGCGGCGACGGGUAGCCGGCCUGAGAGGGUGGACGGCCACAAUGGGACUGAGAUACGGGCCAGACUCCUACGGGAGGCAGCGGUGGGGAAUAUUGCACAAUGGGCGCAAGCCUGAUGCAGCGACGCCGCGGGGGGGAUGACGGCCUUCGGGUUGUAAACUCCUUUCGCUAGGGACGAAGCUUUUUGUGACGGUACCUAGAUAAGAAGCACCGGCUAACUACGUG